GAUGAACGCUGGCGGCGUGCCUAACACAUGCAAGUCGAGCGAAGCGAUCUGAUGGAAGUUUUCGGAUGGAAGUCAGAUUGACUGAGCGGCGACGGGUGAAGUACGCGUGGUAACCUGCCUCAUACAGGGGGAUAACAGUUAGAAAUGGCUGCUAAUACCGCAUAAGCACACAGGACCGCAUGGUCCGGUGUGAAAAACUCCGGUGGUAUGAGAUGGACCCGCGUCUGAUUAGCUAGUUGGUAAGGUAACGGCUUACCAAGGCGACGAUCAGUAGCCGACCUGAGAGGGUGACCGGCCACAUUGGGACUGAGACACGGCCCAA
rnacentral:rRNA from 1 species